GCAUGUCUAGGUUUGUGGUUUGAGUGUUGGACUACAACUCUGGAGACCAGGGUUCAAUUCCCUGCUUGGCCA